rnacentral:piRNA from 1 species
AAUAUUUAUAAAGUUUGUGCACAGUUG